rnacentral:misc_RNA from 1 species
GGGUGAAGUCGUAACAAGGUAGCCGUAGGGGAACCUGCGGCUGGAUCACCUCCUUUCUAAGGUAGAGGACUUCACGAAGCUUGCUUUGUAUCGACCUCUCUUCAGAACAAAAGAGGCCAGUCAGGCCUCGACAUGCGGAACCCGCCGUCUUCGUUUCUCUUUCUCUUUCCGGGCGAAUGCGCUGGAAUGGUCGGACAUGGGUCCUGAUCGUUCGCGCAUUCUGGGCCAAGCCAGGCUUUGGCCGGUCGAUCCGUUCGGGUCGGUUUGCCUUGGGCCUGUAGCUCAGUUGGUUAGAGCGCGCGCUUGAUAAGCGUGAGGUCGGAGGUUCAAAUCCUCCCAGGCCCACCAGUCAUCGAGCGUUCGCGGGUUCGGGCCUUCCGGCCCGACGCCGACCGGCCGCCGCGCCUUGCGGCGCGUCACGUUACCCAAAAGGGGCCAUAGCUCAGUUGGGAGAGCGGUAGCUUUGCAAGCUUCAGGUCGUCGGUUCGAUCCCGUCUGGCUCCACCAAAACCCGGAAAGUCUUUGGUUUCGUCCGCGUCGGAAACGACGUGUGGCGCUGCUGUUUGUCAUUGUGAAGAGGGAAUGUAUUCGAGAGCUGCUCAUCCUGCAGCGUGCGAAUGUCCGACACCAUCGGCUUCGUUAAAUCGGGUACAUUCGGCAAGCAUAAAUGGUCUUUCUGAUCAUAUGCUCUGCGUUUUCGGUCCUUCGGGACUGUGCGCGGACAUCGAUCAUGAGAACGAUCAAGUGCCUUAAGAGCAUUCGGUGGAUGCCUUGGCGCUGAGAGGCGAUGAAGGAC